AUAAAGUGUCCCCCGUAGGUCGCUCAGUUGGUUUGCGGUUUUUGCAACUUUACCACCAGAAAAUUACACACUGGAGCUUUGAAGCAUAGUGUUUAAUUCCCAGAGCCGUUCGUCGUGACCGUAACACACAUCACCCAGCUCCUGACUCUUUACAAAGUGGUGGAAGAGGAGUAAAGUUAAACCUAAAGCUCGUGUGAGCAGAGUGAGACCCACUGUGUUCGCAGGGCGGCGGGGAGGAGUCCGGCCGGGCCGCGUGUGUUCAGAGAGAGGACCAACUGCCGGGAGGUGAAACAAGCUCCUCAGCUGGAAACAUGACAGGACAGUAUUUAAUACAACAACAACAACAACAACAAGCAUUGGCUCCAGAGCCGGUGAACCGGGCUAAGUGAAGCAGGAAGUCGACGCUACCUGGUUCCAGAGGCUUCCGGUUCUGUUCGCCGCCGCCGCGUUGAACUGCGGAGGCUUACCAACCGACCGAGGACAUUACCGCCCCCUGCUGGACUGGAGUGUGGACAGGGCCACAAUACUGAAGAGAUCAGACGACGCAGGAUCUGUAAUAAGCAGCUUUCAUGCCCAUCCACAUGCACAUUCAACAACCAGGACCCCUCGCUUGUUUCUGUGUUCACAGUAAUCCCAUGUUGUGUCAGGAGAGCAGAAAUGUUUUUUUUUAUUCAAACCCAAGUCACUUAUUUCCCCCCAAAAGACUGACAGCUUUUCUUCACCGUGGCAACAAAAGAAAUUAACGUAGUCUAGCUGGCUGCAUACGACACAACCAGAUACAGAACAUUAAUAUACUCCCAAAGAAUAGUCUGAUUAGCUUGCUUGCAUCCCUUUCAUGUUGGUGUCUUGAGGUCUGCAGUUCGGUGAUGAAUGAUUUGGUCCCUUUCAGAUUGUCCAUAGUUUCCUGGAUCGACUGCUCCAUCCAGUGAUCAGGGCUCACCGCUGCGCUCGUGCUUUUAAGAGGCUUUCCUGCUGCACGUUCCCGGAGUCUCCUGUAGAUUCACCUUGGAUCUGCAGACAGAACGGUCACAUCGUCCAAUCACACGUCAGAGCACAGUGAUCAUGAAUCCAUCAUGGGCCACAGUGAAGGACCAUCCUCUGUGACAGAGUUGAUCCGCCUUGUGACUUUGUGAUGGCCGCUCAUCUUUCCAAAUGAACUGGCGUAUACAUACAUUACGUUUACGGACAGUAUUUAGAUGAUAUGAAACUGUUGUAUUAAUGGCAUUACAAGAGUCACAAUUAUUAUUAUGAUCACGUGAGAACUGAAGUUGAUCGUCAAACUUAUCGAUCUCCUUCAGAAGGAAAAGAAGUGACACCUGAAUUCCAUCCUCUUAUAUAUAUUUAUAUAAUUUUCUGCAUUUUGGACCGGGUCUAAUUAUUUGCAGGUCUGCUCUGACUGUAGCAGGUCCACGUUGAGUCUUCUCUCUCUGGUUUAGAAAAAUAAAUUCAUGCAUCGUUGAUCAGAUCCUACAUUUUUUUUAUCUGAAUGCAAAUAUAUGCAACUUGGCUGCGGUUUGGUGAAAAACUGGCAAAUAAAGGUGAUGCGGUGCCGUU